rnacentral:lncRNA from 1 species
UUUUAAGACAUCAAACAUUAAUUAGAGUGGUUCUAAUUAGGACUUGAAAUCAUGUCGACCAAAUGAAGGUCUAAUGAAGAGUGGUGUAUGUGUGCGUAUAUACGAGUAUGUGUGCAUGCAUAAAUGAAUGCAUAUACAUUUAUGAGUAUAUGUAUAUGUGUGUAAAUGUUAUAUCUGUAUACAUGUGUGCAUAUGUAUACAUAUGCCUGCGUAUGAUACAUACACACAUACACACACACAGACACACACAACACACACACCUAUAUUCUCUGAAGCAGAUGUGAAUUGAGUUUAUACGCACACUCACACACAUACUCUCUCUUUCUCUCUCUCUCUCGCUCUAACACACUCUCUCUUUUUCUCUCUCUCUCACACACACGCGCACACGCAUAUAUAUGCAUACGAUGGGCUUCCACGCAGUUUCUUUUAACUAAAUUCACUCUCAAGACAUUGAUCGACCCGGGGCUAUAGAAGAAGGCAUUUCCCCAAAGUGUCGUGCAAUGGGACUGAAAUCCAAACCACACGGUUUGUUGCAAACCGAGCUUCUCAGCCACACAGCCAUGUCUGCUUAUGAAGCCUGCACACCCGCUUUAAUAAACCACAGUAAUAUCGAACAACUUACAACCAGAACUUAUUAACUGAAAAUAGCUUUCUUGCAGAGAAUGAAAUUUGAUAUAUUUCCCCCAGGUUCAAACGUUGCCGAUUUGAUUAAUUUCUGGUGACCAUUGUUCUGCAAACAUUUUUCAAAAUUAAUGAAAUUUGCCUGGAGUUCAGAACGACAUGCAAUUGUGAACAAAUAUUUUCAUCGAUGAAAUUCAUAUUAAAUAAUCUCACGAAUGCCUGAUUGAAGCCUGGAAAGUUUUCUGUUGUUCUCCAUAAUUAAUUUAAGAACAAACAUUGACGGAAUCAAGACAGACUGAAAAGUCUCAUUAAAAAUGAUGUUUACAUUGUUUUUACGGGUGCAGUGUGGCUUUGUGGUAAAAAGGUUGCUUCCCAACCACAUGGUUCCGGGUUCAGUCCCACUGCGUGGCACGUUGGGCGAGUAUCUUCUAUAGCCUCGGGCCAACCAAAAGCUUUGUGAGUGGAUCUGGUAGACGGAAAUUGAAAAAAGUCCGUCUUGUGUGUGUGUGUGUGUGUGUGUGUGUGUGUGUAUAGCAAAAAUUUAGAUUCAGAUGAAUAUGGUACUUAAGUUAAGGCACCAGAAUUUAGUACGGUAUUAUGCAUACGAUUUCAAAGUAAGGUGAUUAAAAUCAAAAUAAGGUGGUGCUCCAGCAUGGCCGCUGUCAAAUGACUGAAACAAGUAAAAGAAUAAAAGAAUAUUAUCGAGUGAGCAAUAAACAAAUAAAUAGUUAAAAGAAAAUUGUACAUGCCUCAGAACAUCCCCAAACUAGACACCAAUAUUUAAGCAUUAUCUAAUCCUAAUUAAAUUACAUAUAAAGAAAACCAAACAAUACCAAAAUAAGUGAUUGGAUUUGGUAGGCGGAAACUGAAAGAAGCCCGUCGUAUAUAUGUAUAUAUAUAUAUAUAUAUAUAUAUAUAUAUAUAUAUAUAUAUAUAUAUAUAUAUAUAUAUAUAUGUGUGUGUGUGUGUGUGUGUGCAUGUGUGUGUGUGUAUAUGUUUGCGUGUCUGUGUUUGUCCCCCCAACAUCGCUUGACAACCGAUGCUGGUGUGUAUACGUCCCCGUAACUUAGUGGUUCGACAAAAGAGUCCGAUAGAAUAAGUACUAGGCUUACAAAGAAUUUGUCGAUUUGCUCAACAUGUCGGAUCCUGGUUAGCGUAGUAUUCCAAUAUUCGAAGGAAGAUCGGUCAGGCACUGAUCAAUAGGAAGAGGAGCACUUCAUAACUCCAAGAUGUGAUCUUGGCUUAAAAUAAGACAUACAGAGUGAACAAUAACAACAGCAACAACACCACCACCAACAACAGUAAUGAUAAUAAUAAAUGUCCUGAUCCAGGCAGACACUCUUAUGGCUUCUGAUCUUAACUGAUUGGAAGUGUUAUCAUGCACAUUGUUUUGUCAUGGUGUAAAAAAUGGGCUACAGCAAAUAUUCUGUUCAAUACCACAAAUUUGCUUGUCAGUUGCUUGACCUUAACCAGUUGAACAUGUCCCUUAGUGGAUGAUGAUAUGUGCAUCUUUGAUCAUGAGCAGGAGUAGUGGGGCAGCAUCAUAGCUGUGUGUUGAAAGGAAUUCUUUGGAGUUUGAGUAAUUCACCUCUGGAAACAUGGGUGCUUUGUUCAUCUUCCUUAAGUAAACCUUAUUCAGGGACCUUUUAAGCUGGAUGGGCUACUCGAUCUGAAAGAUUCUAACUGGGCCCCACCUGCAAGCUCAUGCACUGUUUAUCGCGACAUGAGAUCACCAUGUCACGUAUAUAAGGUUGUGAUGCAUGUGCCUGGUGCUACCUUAUCAGACAGGUAAUUAUGAUGGGUAUAUUGGGCUUCGUAUAUUUGUGCCCCAGUGUCCCUUUGGUGGCAUGCAUUGCUCUCUCACUCAAUAAUAAUAAUAAUAAUAAUAAUAAUAAUAAUAAUAAUAAUAAUAAUAAUUUAGAUGAGGAAAGGAAAAAUUAUGUCGGCAUUAUGAUCGUUUCCGUAAAGGAACAUUUUUUAUUUCAUAUUUCAUACAAUAUUAUGUAAUACAUUCCGUGUAUAGAAAUAUGUAAUAAUAAUUUUAUAGUUCGUUGCACAUAUACGUAGUUAGGAUAAAUCCCAGCUGUUUCUUCUUGAAGCACAUCUGCUUAAUAUAUUAUUACAAUCAAUAUGUAUCCAAAGUCUAUUAAACAUGUGAAUCUGCUUACAUUAUUUACAUUCGACACAUAAAUGUCCUCAUCUCGUUUGUUUUUAACAGAACGUUUCGGCUGAUAUACCCUCCAGCCUUCAUCAGGUGUCUUGGGGAAAUUUAGAACCUGGGUUUUUCAUUCCUAAGAAGGCUGAAGAAGGCUGGAGGGUAUAUCAGCCGAAACGUUGUGUUAACAACAAACAAAAUGAUGACAAAUAUUCGUCGAAUGUAAAUAAUGUACACAUUUUCUUAUCUCUUAAAUAUAGAACUGUAUGUGAAUCUUUGUUAUUCCUAUUAGCAAAUGAAACACCUGUAAUGGAGAAUAAAUAAUACCCCAAAAUUACACUUUCGUGUUUUGUUAUACACAAAUACAUAUAUACAUACAUGCAUACAUACAUACAUACAUACAUACAUACAUACAUACACACACCCAUACCUACAUACAUACAUACAUACAUACAUACAUACAUACAUACAUACAUGUAUGUAUAUAUAUAUGUAUAUAUAUAUAUAUAUAUAUAUAUCUCGCUAAAACUCUUUUUCUUUCACGGUCAGAUGUCAAGUCUGUUAACUGAUUGCUCGAAAAGCUUCUUAUUUUAAAUUGAUCUUGAAAAUUAUCCUUGCAGCACAUGGACGGGGAUUAAGUAUUCACUCUAUUAAGUGAGGUAAAUACGACGAGUAUUUUUCCUUAAAUGCCGUUAGGUAGCUCAUAUAAUAAGCACCGUUAACAAAAGUGAAGCUUUUUAUACAGCGUAGCGAAGAACAUUCUGGAGUUUGUCUUUGUUUAUUAUUUUCGUAAUUACGAACUUUGUAGCAGUUUUCCUGAUUAUAUAUCUCCUUGAUUAAAGGUUAAUCUUACGUGGUGGCUCAUUAGGAACACUAGCUAACAAUUACACAAUGCAUAGAUUAUGAUAACAUCACAGCAGCAAUACACACACACACACACACACACACACACACACACACACACACACACGGGCGUUUCUUACUUUGAAUAAAAAAUCAGCUUGUUUUAUACUCCUGCUUCUGGAAUGUUAUUGCUUUAUAUCGAAUACAGUUUGCCAUAAUUUCAAAGAAUUCAUUGAAAAAAAAAUCAAUUUAUUAUUUAUUUAUUUGUUUAUUUAAUGGUUUACUUACAUAGGCGUAGGAGUGGCUGUGUGGUAAGUAGCUUGCUUACGAACCACAGGAUUCCAGAUUCAGUCCUAUUGCGUGGCACCUUGGGCAAGUGUCUUCUACUAUAGCUUCGGGCUGACCAAACCCUUGUGAGUGGAUUUGGUAGACGGAGACUGAAAGAAGCCCUUCUUAUAUAUGUAUAUAUAUAUAUACACAUAUAUAUAUUCAUCGGGAUCACCGUGUCGGACCAGGCUAUCAGAUGUUGGUACACAUCACUAGUCACAAUGCGCUUCGUAUUGUUUUAGCCUUCAAAUGACGCAACCCCGCUGGCUAAGCGAGCAAGCCAAUAUAUAUAUAUAUAUAUAUAUAUAUAUACAUACAUACACACACACACACACACACACACACACACACACACACACAUAUAUAUAUAUAUAUAUGCAUGUAUGUAUGAGUGUAUAUGUUUGUGUGUCUGUUUGUCCCCCGAUAUCGCUUGACAACCGAUGCUGGUGUGUUUACCAGCAAAAGAGACCGAUAGAAUAAUUACUAGGCUUACAAAGAAUAAGUCCUAGGGUAGAUUUGCUCGACUAAAGGCGGUGCUCUAGCAUGGCCACAGUCAAAUGACUGAAACAAGUAAACGAGUAAAAGGGUUACUCAUUUAAGCCCUUCGCUUCCUUUGGAGCAGAGACCAUCGGCGAAUUUCUUCUCCUCUUCUCGACUUUGAGUUGUCUUUCCUGCUUUGAGUUGUCCUUAGAGUCGGAUCUCUAGUUUUUCCUUUCAGAUUUUGCUGCACUACUUCGUAUGUUUCCCUGAGGGAAAGCCUUCUUCUUCCAGAUCUUUUGCUUUUGAAUUAAUAUCUGUGUUUCUGUAACUUUGCUUAUUCUAGAUAAGGAUGUUGGCUUCAUGCAAACCCAUAUUUACCUCUGGGAAGAGGAGGUUCAUGUUAGUCUAACUUUUAUCCUCCAACCUAUCCAGCAUGGGAGGCCCUACCAGGAGCUUACAAUCUGAUGGCUUAGCUCUCUCUGGGUCAUUGAGGCAUGCAAGCCACCACACUAUCAAAAGUAUUUGUAAUAGAUUCAAUGUCUUUGUCGAAAGAAAGUUGGCAGUACCCACAACCCUUUUCAGGGGCUCCGUGACCAAUGGGAGGAAGGAAGGAAAACUCGGUUUCAAUAUUUGCUACAAAAGCAAAUUUAAAAAAAAAAACUCACAGAAUUUUAUGUUUAUUACCAAAACAAAUAGAUUUAUAAAUCUUACGUCAAACUUUUAUUGAAAAUUUUUAACAUGUCUGUAUCCUUGCAUACUUCAAAUCUCUCCUUGACGUCGUGAAACACAUUUUGAGACAUUUCAGAAGUUAGCCCCUGCACUGCUAACUGAAUGUGUUCUUUAAGCUCAGCUAAACGAUUGCUCCAUCUUGGGGAUGAAGAUAAAGAAAAUGAUUGCUGCCAAAUUGAAAAAAGACUGUCAUGGACAAAUAUGAAGGGCCCAAGAGGAAUGAAAAUAAAAUUAUAAACAAAAUUCAAUAUUUAUACACUUUUAACACAUAUUAAAUAUGAUAAGCAUAAAUAAAAGUGAGUUUUGAAAAAAUGCAUCAGAUUUCACUCAGAUCAUCAUUAAUUCUGGGACACCUUGUAUUUACACGUCCGACUAAACGGGGGGAGGGAACACGGGGGUGGGGACUAAUUGCAGGUGUCGGGCGUAGCUUCCGGAAGUGGUUACGCGGUCAAACUCAAAUGGCUGUGAGUCACAACAGCAGUUUGAUUUUUUGCAUUAUAUAAUUCAGACACAGGUGACAUAGAAAGCUGACAUGCUGCCGGGCCAUGUUGUGUUGCACAGGAUUGGAAACGUGAAACAUCAACAGGGAGUUUCUGGAGAAUGGAUGAAUGGGUUUGUUGUGCCAUUACCCAGCCGCACACAUACGCACAUGGCUCGUGUAGUGGUGUGCGGGAUGGUAACAUGAAGCAUCAAGAGGGCACCGACAAAAAUUUUAAUGUCCUUCUCAUUUCCUCUGCUAAACUGGACAGAAAGGUUUUCAAGAAAUAUUACACGCUACUUAUAAUGCAUAUUUUAUCGUCGGCCUAAAACGAAGAUAAAACCCAGUGCAGUAUACUCAAAUCUGAUUAAUCUGCAUUUUUGUGGGGCCCAUAGUCGGCAUCGGAAUUUCUUUUUUAGUCAACUGCAAUUCGAGGAGCCUGAUUAAUGUUCCUUGUAAAUUUGGAGAAAAGCGACUGGACACUCUUCAAAUUACGGGCCUUAACGCUGCGAAAAUACUUUAAAACUGCGGUUUAUCUGCCCCUGGGCCCGCAUUAGUCAAGAAGUAGAAAAUGUUUUUUGGACUUUGACACUUCAUAGACCCUAUGUAAUGCAUGUAUAAAAUUUCAUUAAAAUCGGCUGGGUGGAUCUCGAGUUUUAACGAUAUGACAAACUCAGACAGACACACAUCUAUUUAUCCAUUCUCCAGAAAUGCCCUGUUGAUAUUUCACGUUUCCAAUCCUGUGCAACGCAGCAUGGCCCGGCAGCAUGUCAACUCAUCUGUGUCUGAAUUAUAUAAUGCAAAAUGUUUAUACAAAAAAUCAAACUUUCUAUCAGCGUUAGUCUCGUUCUUCUAACAUUACUCUAUAUAUUCUCUCUCUCUGCUCUAAAUAGGAUGAAGUUGUGCUGGAUUAAUUGUCAAUAUUCAGUACUGGAUUAAGUUCAUAGAAUGGAUUUUAUGAACUUUAAAGGGCGAAGAUAAAUAAUGGUUUCAAAUUUUGGCACAAGGCCAGCAAAUUGGGGAGAGGGGUAAUUUGAUUACAUGGAUCCCAGGGCCCAACUAGUGCUUAUUUUAUCGAUCCCUAAAGUAGACCUCAGAAUUUGAACGGAGCACGUAAAGACGGGCGAAAUGCCACCAAGUAUUUUGCCCGGAGUGCUAACUAUUCUGCCAGCUGGAAAUAUAUAAUGAUUGUGAUACUUAUGAUUUGUUCUAAGGUAUAAGUGAAUUAAAAUAACCACGAUUAGGGACAGAAACUUAGUCAUAGACUUGGUUUGUAGGGAACUUCAUGUUAAUUCUCGGCAUUUACUUUAUGAUUAAAUAUUGGUGUCUUUUGCGGAAGCGCAAGAUCAAAUAUAUUCGUGGAAAAAUUAAAAUCAAAUGACAUAAAAAUAAUGCAUCUAUCCUAGUUUAUCAUUGAUCCAGGAUAAUGUUGUACGCUCAUUGUGAGCAGUGUUUACGGGUUAUCAAUCAGCCAAAGAUUCUCCUUUGAGAGCAAAAGCGUACCCCAGCAGUUAUCCACAAGACUCAGGACAGCUUAGGGUCUUGGAACAAAAUCUGGAUCUUUUCGGUUUGAACGGCAGUUUUUAACAUAAUUUCUAGGUAACUAAAAAAAUUUAAACUUCGUAUACUGGUAGAUUGUGUUUAUAAAACAUCUUUUUCUCUUGGCUUUAUUGAGAAAAUUCUAUAGUUUGUAAGAUAUUUGUUGUUUUUUUUCUUCAAUUUCUGCAAUUUCAACCAAUCACUGACGUCUGUUUAGGUAAAAAAAAACCAUUCUGUGCCGUAUGAAUAUGUCCCUCGUUUAAGAAACAGAUUGGGUUUAUUUACAUUUGUGAAGAAAAAAAGAUACCCUUUCCCCCACCCCUAACUCUAAUCCUAACCCUAACUAACCCUAACCCCAAAACAGAUUGAAAUGCAAUAGAUCGAUACUAGGGUCAUAAUUAUGGGUGACAAUUUCAUAUGACACCGCUAUAAAAAACUGCCGUUCAAACCGAAAAGAUCCCAAAAUCUAUUUCCCCAGACAUUCUAUUAUUUACUGAAUCAUUUAAAACAUUGUGGUUUUUUUUUUUUUGAGAACGAAACACCCGUGAUAAAUGAGGAUAGGCAUACUAACUUUACUAACUGUACUGAUGUUGGAAUGAGUAAAGAAAACAUUAACUUCAACGGGAUUUGAAUUCAAAAGACGGCGGGGAAUAUGAUAUAAUGUAUAUAGUCUUCUUUUCUCUAUGCUGCUAACAAAAAAAAAAAACCCAUAGUUUUUAUGACUCUGAUAUUAGAUUAUACACACUAAAUAAUUAUUAUAUUGCUAUAAGUGUGUCGAUAAUGGAUCAGAUACAUCAUAUUUGCUAUCUAUGAUCCAAAUUAAACAAAUCAAACAACAGCUUCACUGUCUUUAUAAAUUUUCAGCAUAAAUUUCUAAAUUUAUCUAAUUCUAUAUUGAAAUUAAAUGUACAAUAUAAAUAUUUACGUACGCAUGUAGAGAGAUAGAUAAAUAUAAAGAAUAGUAAAAAGCUUGAAUAUUAAAAAAAAUGUUAUCAAAGUAAGCAAGUAUUUGGCAUCGUGUACACAUUUGCAUCAAAACUGAUAAUCUCACUGCUAACAUGAACUCCUCCUCUUUAAGAGGUUUAAUAUGUUGGGAGAGGCGAACGGAUGAAGUUUAAUCUUUAUAAUCUCUUUUGCUCGUGUCCUUAUUUGUGUUUAUAUUAAGAUUAAAUAUUUACUCAAUGCUUAUAUGAAAGGCAGAUCAAAGAUUAAAUGUUAAUGACCUUUUGGGUUGACUAACGAUCAGAAAGAACCGCGUGUUUCAGUGACUCGUGACAUGACGAGAGCAGCUUUUCAGUGGCGGUGAAAGAAGUGUUUCAUCUCAUGUUUUUACACAGCAUUCGCCAGUGAGAAAAAGAUGCGUGUGAAAUAUAUAUAUAUAUAUAUAUAUAUAUAUAUAUAAAUAUAAUAUAAUAUAAAUAAUAUAUAAAUAUAUGCAUCUAUACAUACAUAUAUGUACAUACCUACAUAUAUAUGUGUAUAUAUAUAUAUAUAUAUAUAUAUAUAUAUAUGAGAUAUAUAUAUAUAUAUAUACAUAUAUGGAUACAGGACAUCAAAAAACGUUGAACACUAUGAGAAACGAAAGCAUAAAAACAAAAACAUAGAAAUCGAACUUUUUUUCGAACAACGAAAAAACAAACAGAGAAACGAGACAUGUAACAUAAAGAACAUUCCCCUUCAUCAGUUGUCCCUGUUUCAUCUACUCCGCGUUUCGAAGGUAAGGACAAUACGCAACUUCGUCGAAACAGUCCUUCUCGCAAAGCAAAUUAAAUAAAAUUUGGGAUUUUUUGCGGAGGGUGAAAGUGGUAACAGGAACAGGACAGUAAUAACAAGACAGUAAAAACAAACGGUGGGGGUUGUUAAGCCAAGACAAUAGAAGAAUUAUUAUGAACGCAAGGAGGACGAGUCCAUUUCUUUCCUAAAGGAAAUGGACAGAAAGAUAGAUUCCCUUUCGUCACGUGUCAGCGACGAGAGAGUCAAGGAGGAAGAAUGAGAAAGAGGGAACGGUGAAGAGGAGAGAAGUAUGGGAAGGGUUGGAGAGAAAACUAAUAGAAAAAUAAUAGAAGCCCUACUUUGCUAAAUGAUACAAAAUAUUAAAUGAAAAUUGUAUGUUAUCCAUAGAAUUCAGGUUGGAAGUCUUCCUGAAUAGAUUGUUCAGUUGAGCUUCGUCACAUCUAAUGUUUCAGUGUCGAUCUAGUUGCUAUUCGUGAUUUUACGACGUAUAUUCAUGAAAUGUGUAACCCAAUUAUGAUUGCUUUGAAACGAGAAUGAACAAUCAACUUUGCAUCAGUUUUAAAGUUUGAAUGCCCAUCAUCAACGCCACAGUAGCGAUCUCACGAAUCUGACGCUUUUUCAGUUUUGCUAUCAAACUCAGAAAAACCACAAAUUUUCGCUUUAAAUACUCUCCGAGUUCUCGAUGCAAUGCAUAAUUUUUUUUCUUUUGAUUACACUUAUAUAGGCGUAGGAGUGGCUGUGUGGUAAGUAGCUUGCUUACCAACCACAUGGUUGCGGGUUCAGUCCCACUGCGUGUCACCUUGGGCAAGUGUCUUCUACUAUAGCCUCGGGCCGACCAAAGCCUUGUGAGUGGAUUUGGUAGACGGAAACUGAAAGAAGCCCGUCGUAUAUAUGUAUAUAUACAUGCAUGUGUAUGUGUGUGUAUGCUUGUGUGUCUGUGUUUGUUCCCCCAACAUCGCUUGACAACCGAUAGAAUAAGUACUAGGCUUACAAAGAAUAAGUCCUGGGGUCGAUUCGUUCGACUAAAGGCGGUGCUCCAGCAUUGUUACUGUCAAAUGACUGAAACAAGUAAAAGAGUAAAAGAGUAAACAGAUGAUAAAUUCACCAAUUCCAAAUUGUUUGGCUGAACAACUAUUUCGUGUUUCUUCAUAAUUUUUUUUUUUAAUAUUUGAAGUUUUUCACCAACUUUAAAAAAGCGACGAUGCAUCGAAGCAUUCACGUUUAUAUAAUAUUGUGGUAAUCCGUGCACAGAAGAUUACACAUUAAUUAUGCAGAAAAAUGAGUGUGUAAACAGUUAACUGUAUUUCCAAACCGGACAGCGUAUGUUAAAAAGCACAUGAUCGCAGGAUCAGUGUUAUUCUGUCGACCAGUUUUCCCCAGUCUUUCUUUAUCCGCAUUUUCUUCGCCUCUCUUGAUUCAAUUCUCACUGUUGUGCCUUACGAGCAUUGUUCACCACCGCAACGCACCAAAUUCCGUUUAUAAUUUAAGAAGUACUUGACAUUAUACAGUUGUAACACUUGUAUCAAAACGCACCAUAACACAUAUUUUACGAAGGAAUUUAGAAACACGGCUAUUGAUAUAUAGUAGUUGUAUACUGUCAACUUAAUGUGUCAGUCCCAUGAAGGGAAUCAUACUACUGCUAUUUAGCUCUAGGAAGCAGCAACGCUUCCUGUCGGCCUUGACACAUUUCCUGUGUCCUUAUGUUUGUAAGGGGGAGAUAAGCACCUCCACCCAGCUACUAUACAACUACUUUAUCGUACCACGACUGCAUAAAUCUCUCUGAGAUAUUUAGAAAUGUAUUAUCUCUAUUGAUAUAUAGAUAGUAGGUAAAACUCCGUAUUUGGCAUAUAACUUUAUACACAUUUGACGAAGAAAUUUAGAAAUAGUGUUAUUAAUAUAUAGUUAGUUGAGAAAACUCUGUAUCUAGGGAAUACCGUUAUACAUAUUUUAUGAAGAAAGUUAGGAAUACGGUUAUUAGUAUAUAGAGAAUCGGAAAGACUCCAGAAAAUACCUUUGUGCAUUAUACGAAGAUGGUUAGGUACAGCGAUUAGUAUAUUUGUGUUCGAGUCUGCCGGAACGUAUUAAGAUUAGAUAUGAAAGUAAUCGUCUAGAUUCUCGCAGUUCACCGUGCAAAUAUCGAUUCAUUAUCUAUUAGAAGAUAGCAACAUGGAUCACCAAAGAGUUUAUUCACUGAAAUUAUAAACAAGGCUAUCGGCUCUUCUCAGAUUCGUUAGUCGGGGCGCUUCUGGCUGAUGAAACACAGCAUGUCGAAACAUCGAUAUCCUAGGAUCACUUACACGAAUGAACUGAUUGUAUUAUGAACGCAUAAUCGGCGUAAAGGAGGAGCUGUUCUCAUGUGAUAAAUAAAUGCAACAGCGAUUACCAUAUUUGCGUUCAAAUCUACCGGAACGUAUCAAAAAUAGAUAUGUAGGUUAUCUUGUGCGCAUGUGUGUGUGAGUGAUAUACAUUACAUAAACAUAUACAUGCAUACAUGCAAACACACACACACACACAUGCACACAUAUACAUACGUAGUUAAGAUCUCAUAUGACUAUAGUCGGUUUCACGUGGAUUUCCAACGCCUAUUUUUUUAAUAUCUUCUGUUAUAUAGAGAAUACCAAACGAGUUCCCUAUGGAUACCGUAUUUAUUACAACGAGUGGCUUGUAAACGUAUCUAACUCGCUUUCGCUCGUUAGAUAAGUUUACAAGCCACGAGUUGUAAUAAAUACGGUAUCCAUAGGGAAUGAGUUUGGUAUUUUAUUUAUUACACACGAAUAAACGACCAUAUUUAACAAAACCAUUCACCUUGAUAUCGACAACAGUAGCCAUCUUGUUGAUAGAUCUAUCCGCACUGCAAGAGUAUCGACGAGCAGACGAAAUAUGUUGUGAUUUUUUGGGCAACAAAAAAUUGAAUUACCACCAGAAAUGUUUAUAUUUUAUGUGUAUAUGACUUUAAGUGAUAUCUGGUAUAAAAAAGAUAGUAUGUUUGUUUAAUUACAUGGCUACAUUCUACCUGCUCGUGAAAGUAAUGAAUGAAGUUUAGUUGUAACUUAUAAUGACAAAAGUAGUGCCGUCACCGUGACCUCGGGUCAUCAUCAUGGAUUGACCAAUCAGAAGCAGCGCUCGCAGUAUCUGACAUAUGUUAGAUACCAAAAAUAUCUCAAAGUGUUCUCACUCACAUGUGUGUAAUAAAUCGCAAUACUACACAGUGGCUGUGUGAGCUACGAAAUCCCCGUCGCCACUGUUAUGUCGCACGUUCGGAUGACCGCUACUCUCUACUACUCUUCUCGACGUCUAGACUUCUCCCUGUAUAUCUACGUAUUGGGCUAGUCUACUUCAUCGUCUGGGGGCGUCGACACAACAUCUUCUCAAGUGAACUAUGGCACCUAUCCAAAUAGUUAUAUUUACGGUCACACUUCUUUAAUUGAAGAAUAUACAGUCCACAUUUUCAAUGUAUUGAGUCCUCUAUUUUGAGUUGCUGUCUACUUGAUUCUUAUUCGAGAAUUACAGUACAUUAGAAAUAACGAAGGGAGCUAGAUUAGAAGUUUGAGAAAACACUUGAAGCGCUAGGAUAGUUUAGGAGGAAGUUUCAAAUAGAUCAACAUGCGUGACUUAUCACUCGAAACAGAGAUGGUUUUCAAGCAGAUGGAACUGUUUAUAAUGUCAACAAAAAACUUUCAGUAAGACCGCGGACAUUGUGGUGUCCCACAAAGGAAGAAAGGGUAUUAGAAACGUAUAGCCAAAAUUCAAGAAAAUUUAUGCGGCAAAUGAUUCAUGAGAUAGAGAUUUUAAAAUUAAGAGUAUUUUGCAAUUUGAAAUAUUGUCAUUGAAAAGUUACAUUCCAAGAAUUGUUUGUAUUUCAAAUGAAAAUAAUCGGGAACGAAGAGUGUAGUUUUGCGAGUGGCAUUUGGCAGAAUGUGCACGAUUGCGCCUAUUGAAGAUCUGAGAAUCCACAUAUUACUAAGGAAUAUCUUGUUAAUUUACCAGGCGUUAAAGUAUGGUGCAGUCAAAAGGAUUAAUUGGACCAUUAAUUUUUUUACUGUACUUUGAGUGGUUCUAUUUACUUGAACUCGCCAAGCACUAGGGAGGAUUUUAGAGAUGUGGAUGUUUAUUUCCAACAAGAUGAGCGUCCUAACAUUACCACAGUAAUGUAAGGGCUUACCUUCUUGAGAAAAAUGCUUCCCCUGGACGAGGAGGUUCAUUGGAAUAUUCUCUGCAUUCACCAGACAUCAUACCACCAGACAUUUUUAUCGCGAUACAUAAAAGACAAAAUUUACAAAACACAACCGACGACAGCCAUCAAAUUGAUGGCCGCCAUUGAAAGAAAAUGCUCACAAAUACGGAAAGAAAUGUUUCUUGAUGUUUGCGAUUGCAUUAUUUUGCAUUAUCAGUUGUGCCCAGACCAGAAUGGUCAUCGGUUUGAAAGGAGGUAUUUAUAAAAUAAUAUAAUUCUUGUGUAGAUUCUAGUAAAUUUUAAAAAUGAAAUGUAUUUUAAUAAAUACUAACUUUAUAAUCCAUUUAAGGCGACGAGCUGGUAGAAUCGUUUGCACACCGAGAGAAAUGCUUAGCGGCAUUUCGUCUGCCGUUACGUUCUGAGUUCAAAUUACGCAGAGAUCGAUUAAAUAGGUACCGGUUACGCACUGAGGUUGAUGCAAUCGACUUAAUCCCUUUGUCUGUCCUUGUUUGUCCCCUCUAUGUUUAGCCCCCUAUGGGCAAUAAAGAAAUAAAUAUGUGUAUUCAUCUUUGGGAGAACGCCCUAUGUAUAUAUAUAUAUAUAUAUAUAUAUAUAUAUAUAUAUAUAUAUAUAUAUAUAUAUAUAUAUAUAUAUAUAUAUAUAUAUAUAUAUAUAUAGGCACAGGAGUGGCUGUGUGGUAAGUAGCUUGCUAACCAACCACAUGGUUCCGGGUUCAGUCCACUGCGUGGCAUCUUGGGCAAGUGUCUUCUGCUAUGGCCCCGGGCCGACCAAUGCCUUGUGAGUGGAUUUGGUAGACGGAAACUGAAAGAAGCCUGUCGUAUAUAUGUAUAUAUAUAUAUAUAUAUAUAUAUAUAUAUAUAUAUGUGUGUGUUUGUGUGGCUGUGUUUGUCCCCCUAGCAUUGCUUGACAACCGAUGCUGGUGUGUUUACGUCCCCGUCACUUAGCGGUUCGGCAAAAGAGACCGAUAGAAUAAGUACUGGGCUUACAAAGAAUAAGUCCCGGGGUCGAUUUGCUCGACUAAAGGCGGUGCUCCAGCAUGGCCGCAGUCAAAUGACUGAAACAAGUAAAAGAGUAAAAGAGUAAUAUAUAUUUAGCAUUAUAGUAGAUUCACCAUGUUAAAUACCUCCAGUCAGACACUAAUAACUUUGUAACUGAAGCCAAUUCAAGCGAUGGUCAGCACAGCUUUUGUUGUACCUUAAUUCGAUGUAAAUCGGAAAAUUUACAAUUGGUGUAUCGUAAUCAUUAUAAAGUAAUUACAGGAAACGUCAUGUCACUAAUAUUAACUCGUGUGAAGGCGGCGAGCUGACAGAAUAGUUAAUGCGGGGGUGGAGUUGGGGGUGGAAGGAAAAUGCUUAACGGCAUUUUGUCCGCCUUUACGUUCUGAGUUCAAAUGCCACCGGGGUCGACUUUGCCCUUCAUCCUCUCGGAGUCAUUAAAAUAAGUACCAGUUGAACACUGGGGUCGAUGUAAUCGACUAACCGACUCUAACCCUCCUCCGAAAUUGCUGGCCUUGUGCCAAAAUUUGAAACCAAUAUUAGCUCGUUUGUUCUUAUCGUUUAAUACCAUUCAAACCUGAUCGUCAAAAACCUAGAGUCAAAAGCGUUUCAUUUGUUAUCAAGCUGUCUUUAGGAUUUUAGGUAUAAACGCAUCAUGGAGUACAUUAUCGAAAAUGUACUUAUAAAUACUUAUUUGCUUCUGAAUUUUAAAAAAUUUUGAAUGUGUCAAAAGAUAAAGCAUUGUUUAUUUAAGAGGAUAAAAUGCGAUGAAAGAAUAUUAGACAUUACUUAAAUGAAAAUGUAAAUGCGAAAGGUCAAUCUGUUUCAGGCCUCAAGACUCGGAUUAACAAGACGGGUAAAACACGAGUGAAAAUGUGAUAGGUCAGCGAAUUUCGUUUAAAAAAGAAAGAGAUAAGGUAUAAACCAAGAAAGAACAGAAAUAGAGAAAGAAGCGAAUGAGAUUUAGAGAGGAAAGUACUUAAGAUUCAAGCAGUUUAGAAAAUACCAGAAUAUAUUAAGAGAGCAGUAUGUCAAGUGUUUUCAUUCAUUACUGAACGGGCAUAGCUGAAAACAGGAACUGUGUGGAACUACCUCUAUUGUAUUCUUGAUUCUUUUAUUCUGAAUUACAAUCAAGGAUAUUAAAAUGUUGGCUGAUUCAAACAGGAUAAAAUACGCGGGUACUGGUUAUGAAGAUGAAGUGGAACCUGACAAAAGGGAUCACAUGAUUAUGAAAUAUAAAUAUAUGGUAUUUAAGAUGGUUAUGAUUUCAAUUUAUAUUUCUCUGAUACUUGGUACUGCCGUCUUUUUAAUGGUUUAUUAUGUAUUUUUGUGGCGUCCUGUCAGGGGUAAUUACAGUUCCCAUCAUAUCUACAUCGAUCAUCAGAAACCUGUUUACCAUUCGGAAUGAAGCAUUUCAGAGGUAACACAAAUCAUUUAUCUGCUUUUUACUGUUGUAGAGUGUCCCAGCAUCGGUUAUGUGAAAUUGUUAAGAAUUUUUAUGCUUUGGUGAAAAGAAGGGUGCUCUAAAUUAUAACUUCAGAUCAAGUUGAAAAUAAUCAAUCCCAUACAACCAUAUAUGACUUAGAGGUGAUUGAUCUCGUGUUUUCGAGAACAGUGGCAAUAUUCAAAUUUCUUCUUUGAGCUAGUUGCAGGUUUAAACUUAACAUCCUUGAUGGCAUUUGCUUUCAAGCGAACAUGUACAAUUGUUUUUACAAUACCUGUAUCGCUAUAAGGUACUGAGUUUAUGAUGGAUUUAAAAUUUUAGAGAUGAAUUAAAAAUUUUUCAGAAACAUAAAAUAAUCAGAUCAAAUAUGAGCGUAUAUAUAAUAUUAUACGCAUGGAUAUUUAUGACUUCACCUUAAAAUCACUGAAGACUUCAAAAAGAACCAAAAGUUGACAACUUAAUGCAUUAAACAAUUAUGUAAAUUGUGUGUAUGUGUGUGUGGGGGCGGUAUUUACAAAUUUGUGAUAUACAUACAAAUAGCAAUCAAUAUUAGCUUAUUUGGAAACAUUCAUAACUCAUUUUUUCCACACAUAUAAACCUGCACAAAAUACGUACAACUCAAUCUAAACUAAACUACACCUAAUCUAAACUGAAACCAAAUUUUGUCUGUCUAAAUCCAUUGAUGAUUGUAAAGGUGUUGUACAGACAUGGUUGUUUCAUGAGCUGUAAGCUAAAUGUUUGCUUGAAAGUUGCCCCUUUUGGAAUGCUAUUCCAAGACAUCAGUUGUCAGGAGUACUCACUCCACAUUUCACAUUUUGUGAUGGAGUAUCUUCAGUCUCAACUGGUCAAUAUUGGUGUCAUCUGUGCAUGAUUCAUUAAAGUUCGGCCUGCAGACAAACUACACAACAAUCUCCCUUACUCAUAAUAUAACGAUUUCAAAUUUUGGCAAAAGACCAGCAAUUUUGGGGAAGGGGUUAAAUCGAUUAUUUCGACCCCAGCGCUCGACUCCGAAAGAGUGAAAGAUAAAGUUGACUUCUGCGGAAUUUGAACUCACAACGUAAAGACGGACGAAAUGCUGCUGAGUAUUUUGCCCGGCGUGCUAACAAUUCUGCCCGCUCGCCAUCUUUCUUAGUUCUAAUAUGACAUGGAAUGUUAGCAGCAGCUGUGAAAAUUCUUUGAUAAGAUUUGGACAUUUGUUGUUGAUUCUCAAAGUUUUACUUUAAACUUAAAAGUCAAAGGGUUUUCUCAUCCAUAAACGCAUGAAAGAGAGCAAUUGCUCUGCAUGUUGUGUCGUCUAAGCUGUAGCGUAGCUUGGAAAUUAGGCGAGGAAAUGGUCCUUCCCGAACGAUGCUUUUAUGGAGGUGGUACUUUUGGGUCUGUGAGACCCGGAAAGGGGGCAAAAGUCGAAAGGGCUGCCUCUGAUAGCACACACCCUAGUAAUACCAAUGCUCGUAAGCUAACGAUUUUGCCAGCACGCCAUCUUACGUCUAAGAAAUAUUAAUCAAUAAUGCGGUAUACACUAUAGAGGCAGCAUUUAAUUGAAAUAGCCAUAUGAUACAUCGAUGGCUACUUUACUUAAAUAUUGCUUCAAUUGAGGAUACUGGAUUAUUAAUCAGCCAUGCAGCUGUUUGCAACAUCAGUCAUUGUCUUAUUCAUUUUCCCUCUCGCCCGAUCAUGUAACUGGUUGUGAGUACACGCCAUUGAAAAAGCCUAAGUGAGCUGAAAUGCAUGUGGAGCGCUUACUGUCCGCUGCUGGGACAAAUUUUCUCCUCUGAUACUUGUGUUUUCAGCACAGCAUGUUAAAUAAGAGUUGUUAUCUCAGGACAUACUGCAGUAACUGGCCUGUCAACGUGAUAUAUACAUUAAGUAGGAUGUAUAUAGAUGGCUAUUUUAAUUAAUCAACAACUACCUCUGGGCAGCCGUUUAAGGCAAUGUGCCCCUCAGUGUUCCAGGUAGCGUGUCACUCAAAGUUGCAGGCAGUGUGUCACUUAGUACUCUACUCUAAAUAAUAAUAAGCUGACAAGCAUUGGGUACUAUGAAUUCUUCAUUUCCUGUCAUUGAUUUUCCCAGUGUUCAUAAUGUGACAUGAUGUAGGAGUUGAGAAACGUCUCAGGAGAGAGUACCGGGUUGGGAUGAGAAGAAAGUUAAUGGCAUCCACUUGUGUUCAGAUAGAACUAUCAAGUCAAACUUUAGAGUCCGAUGAAUAUUGUUACUUUCCAGCGAAAGACAGGUUCAUGCCCUUAGUCUCCAUAUUUCCCUGAAUUAACUUUUUAUUGUCUGCUAGGGGUUGAUGUCAUAAUUUAGCUUUGAUAUACACUUGUUAACAAUUCAAAUAUGCUCGAGGCAUAUUCAAAUCCGUAAGAAAAUCAUUCAUUACAUUUUGUCAACGGAGAAGAAUUCUCCAUGUCAGUUCGGAGCGCCCUCUACUCAGAUUAAUGAAUGUAUGCAUUUAGGAGAAGUUAUCUCCUCUUCAAGAGCGCUCCGAACUGAAUGGUCCGAACUCAUUUAUACCUAUUUGGCUGCAGUGAGAAUUUCCGUCAUGACAAAAUAUAAUGAACAGCUUUCAGACGUGUUCGAAUGUCUCAAACAUAUUUGACCCAAGUAACAAGUCUAUAUUUGUGUACAUCAUUGCUUAGCGCUUCUAAUCCGUAUCUUAACUUUUAAUAUGAUAUUGAAAAGCAAACUCUAUCAUCAAUUUGGGAUGAAAAUAAGAUUUUGUAUUUUGGCACUUACCAUAAACAUCAUUAAUAAAUUUCAAUAAAAUUUACCAAGUUACGUCAUAAAACUGGUUCUGCAUGUUUAUUCAAGCCAAUUAUAUCUGUUUGCUUGUGAUUAUUAGGAUUCUGCAAAACACACACACACACACACACACACGUGCUGGUCUUGCAACUCGAAUUUCAUGCUACUGCAAUCUUCAGGAGGAACCCUGAAGAUCGCGGUUUCACCUGGAGGUCGCAGUGGCGUGAAACUCGAGUGUGUGUGUGUGUGUGUGUGUGUGUGUGUGUGUGUGUGUGUGUGUGUGUGUGUGUGUGUGUGUGUAUGUGGUGUGUGUAUGUAAAUAUAUAUACUUACAUGCGGACAUACAUACAUACACGGACAAAAACAUACGUAUAGGUAUAUACUAGUUUAUAUGUACCCUCCAAAAUAGCAUUAAAAAAAAAAAUGAAAUUGAUAUUUAAUAAAUGCAUUGUCAUAACACGUAUUAAAUAUAUUUAAUAUACACUUAUUAAAACACACCAUGCAUUACUUAGGCUCUGAUCAAUGUUUAUUCACCCAAAUAUUUUGUUAAUAAUCAACCAAUGUAGCAGGGUUUCUAUACGCAUAUCAUUCCAGAAGUUCUGAGACUUUCUCAGAAGCGACAUUUAUUAAUUUCAAAGAAGUACAAAACUCUAGUGUUCUUCGAAGUAUAAUUCACUGACUUCAAUACACUUGUUGUAGCGUUCCAGCCACUUCAUGAAGACCCCACGGGAGUCCUCUACAGUGAAGGUAUCCAGGACUCUUGUCACAGCCUCCUACGUAUUUCUCAAUGUCUUCAAAAUGACUGCCCCCGAGGUUCUCCUUCAACUCGAGGAACAACCAAAAGUCACUGAGAGAAAAUCUGGAGUGUAGUGAAAUCUCUGUCAAGUAGUUGGUUACAGGCGGCGAGCUGGCAGAAACGUUAGCACGCCGAGCGAAAUGCUUAGCGGUAUUUCGUCUGCGUUACGUUGUGAGUUCAAAUUCCGCCGAGGUCGACUUUGCCUUUUCAUCCUUUCGGGGUCGAUAAAUUAAGUACCAGUUACGCACUGGGGUCGAUGUAAUCGACUUAAUACCUAUGUCUGUCCUUGUUUGUCCCCUCUGUGUUUAGCCCCUUGUGGGUAAUAAAGAAAUAGGUUACUAGGAUGGAAUUAUUGACUGAUGCAUUGUUCUAGUGCAGCUGCUCAGGUCUUUUGCGACGAAAUUUCUUCCUGAACUCAUUCAACACCACUACAAAGUACUUUUUGUUGAUCAUCUGAUCAAAGGGAACCAAGUAGAUUUAGAUGAUUUCCUUGCUAAGGAAAAAGGGAAUCAUCAUGAGCUUUCCGGAGGACUUGCUUUGCUUGGCCUCUUAUGUCUGUGAAAAACGAUGCUCAGCUCCUACAAGUUAAUCUAUAAGCAAUCUAGAGUUUUUCAUAUGGUUUUUGUAGCGUUUCUGCCCAGCUUAACACAAAACUUUGAUGCAUAACGACCUUUCAAAUUGUCUUCAUAUAUAUAUAUAUAUAUAUAUAUAUAUAUAUAUAUAUAUAUAUAUAUAUAUAUAUAUAUAUAUAUGCGAGACAAUCCAUCACUAGAACUGUAAAAAUCUGUAAAGCUUUCCAGAAGUUUAUCAUUUAAAUAUAUAUCAGCAUGUCAAGAUAUGCAACUAUAUGCAUGAUAAUGCAUACAUAAUUCUUACACACACACAUACAUGCAUGUAUGGAUGCAUGCAUGCAUGCAUACAUACAUACAUACAUACAUACAUACAUACAUACAUACAUACAUACAUACAUACAUACCCUGUUGUUGAUAUUAGAAACCGGUCCUUUCUCUAUUGGCAAGAACUCUUAAAAUAAACUGAAUAAUGACGAAGAGCUGAUUGUAUCUCAGAGUAUGACUAUCGUCCUGUGCGACCAUAAUUCUGAAGGUAUUGAGAUCAUUGCUAGGCAUUGUUUUUUGACCAUGUCUGGUGUUCACAGUGAUAUCCAUCCUCACAUUUUAGAACACGAGAAGUUUCUGCAAGGCAUCAAUCAUAGACCUUAUUAGUCUAAAGGUAUAAGGUGGCGAGCUGGCAGAAACGUUAGCACGCCGGGCGAAAUGCUUAGCGGUAUUUCGUCUGCGUUACGUUGUGAGUUCAAAUUCCGCCGAGGUCGACUUUGCCUUUCAUCCUUUCGGGGUCGAUAAAUUAAGUACCAGUUACGCAUUGGGGUCGAUGUAAUCGACUUAAUACCUAUGUCUGUCCUUGUUUGUCCCCUCUGUGUUUAGCCCCUUGUGGGUAAUAAAGAAAUAGGUAUUUCGUCUGCCGCUACGUUCUGAGUUCAAAUUCCGUCGAGGUCGACUUUGCCUUUCAUCCUUUCGGAGUCGAUUAAAUAAGUACCAGUUAUGCACUGGAAUCGAUAUAAUCGACUUAAUCCGUUUGUCUGUCCUUGUUUGUCCUCUCUGUGUUUAGCCCCUUGUGGGUAGUAAAGAAAUAGGUAUUUCGUCUGUCUUUACGUUCUGAGUUCAAAUUCCGCCGAGGUCGACUUUGCAUUUCAUCCUCUCGGGGUCGAUAGAUUAAGUACCAGUUGCGUACUUGGGUCGAUCUAAUCGAUUGGCUCCCUCCCACAAAAUUUCGGCCUUGUGCCUAGAGUAGAAAAGAUUAGCCUAAAAGUAUGCAAAUUAAUUUCUCAUGUUGUUUUUCAAGAAUAAAAGUGUCGUUCAUACUGUUCCGCUGGAGUUCUGUCAGUAUUAACGAUUAACGGCUGCAUUGGUUUACCUUACCCAGGUAAUACGUAAACUAUUCACGUCAUUUUUAUGAGCAUGGAGCACCCACUGAAUAUCAAGAAUAAUUCCUUCCCUAAGAGUUCGAAUAUUUGUGUGACGCAGCUGUACCAGCUGUUGCUCAACCCUCAUGGAAGGAAUCUGAAGAAACUUUGGCUUUUCACCUGAUAGAACCAAACAAUAAACUUACUCUUGGAUGUUAAAGUAGGCAUUUGUAUGUGUCAAAAGAUAAAGUAUUGUUUAUUUAAGAGGAUAAAAUGCGAUGAAAAAAAUAUUAGAUAUUAAAUAAAAGGUGUAAAUGUGAAAGGUCAAUCUGUUUCAGGCCUCAAGACUCGGAUUAACAAGACAGGUAAAACGAGAGUGAAAAUGUGAUAGGUCAGUGAAUUUCGUUUAAAAAACGAAAGAGAUGACGUAUAAACCAAGAAAGAACAGAAAUAAAGAAAGAAGCGAAUGAGAUUUAGAGGGGAAAGUACUUAAGAUUCAAGCAGUUUAAAAACUAUGAGAAUAUAUUAAGAGUGUCCAGUAUUUUCAUUCAUUACUGAACGGACAUAGCUGAAACAGGAACUGUGUGGAAUUAUUUCUUGCGUAUUCUCUAUUCUAUUAUUCCGAAUUACAAGGAAGGAUAUUAAAAUGUCGACUAAUACAAACAGGAUAAAAUACGCGGGUACUGGUUAUGAAGAUGAAGUGGAACCUGACAAAAGGGAUCACAUGAUUAUGAAAUAUAAAUAUUUGGCAUUUAAAAUGGUUAUGAUUUCAAUUUAUGUUUCUCUGAUACUUGGUACUGCCGUCUUUUUAAUGGCUUAUUAUAUAUUCUUGUGGCAUCCUGUAAGGGGUAAUUACAGUUCCCAUCACAUCUACAUCGAUCAUCAGAAACCUAUUUACCAUUCGGAAUGAAGCAUUUCAGAGGUAACACAAUUAUUUAUCUACUUUUACUGUUGUAGAGUGUCCCAGCAUCGGUUAUGUGAAAUAGAUUUAAAAAAAAAAGUUUACGUUUCAGUACCACAGGAAAGGUAAGGAUCUACUAGUAGACAAUAUAUGGAAAUUUGUUUAGAGACGCGUUAUUCCGAAUCCUCGAAAGUGACAACGAUUCUGUUGAUGGUUCAAUCUGAACAUAUUCCAAUCCAUUUGCUAUCAAAUAACGAUCCAAAUAGCGAUCUACAAUUGUAUUUAUAAAGGUUUUAUUUCUAUAAUGUAUUGUAUUAAUGAAAUCAAUGUAAAUCACUUAACUUCGGGUUAUUUUAGAAAUAAUUAAGAAAUUAUUUAGAGGUAAUUUUCAGAUACUUAGGAACCAAGGAAAGAAGUCAUAAAAUGGAAUAUCAAACAAAUUUUAUGUAAUAUCUAUAGAUAUGAAACUGAGAAUGUGUGUGUGUCUGUCUGCCUACCUGUAUGUGUGCAUCACUAAAACUCGAGAACCAUCCAACCGAUUUCAUUCAAAUUUUACACAUGCACUACUUAGGGUCCAUGGAGUGUUGUAGGCCAAAAUAUUUUCAUCUUCUUGCCUAAUUACGAGCCCAGAGCAAUCUCUUACAUUGUUUUGGUAUUACAUGUCUAAAGUGAAACAAUAACAUCUCUAUUGUAAUGUGAGAUAAUAGUUUCAUUUUAAACAGUUUCUCUAUUAAUAGUGAAACUAUAUAUAUAUAUAUAUAUAUAUAUAUAUACAUACAUACAUACAUACAUACAUACAUACAUACAUACAUACAUACAUACACACAUACAUACAUGUAUACAUACAUAAUACAUACAUACAUACAUACAUACAUACAUACAUACAUACAUACAUAUAUACAUACAUAUAUGCAUACAUACAUACAUACAUAAGGACCACACGAGUUGAUAUAUAUGAAAAAAGUCAAGGUAGAAAAUACUAAAAUAAUUUUAUAAAAAAACAUUUCAGUACCGGUUUCAGUCAUUGAGACUUUUUCAACUGUAACUAUGGAAAACAAUUAAAUUUUGGAAAAAUGAAAAGAAAAGUAUUUAAAAGAAUAUUUGUAUAGUAUUCAAAUACAAGGGGCAUUUUCUUUGUUUCUGCCUGUCUCUGUCUCUCUUGUUUACUCUAUGUAGAGGGAGAAUGGGCUGCCGUAUUUUUCUAGAACCUUAUGAUAAAGACUAAUUUCUAGAUAUCCCAUGACUAAGUUAGCAAAGGAGGGGGCCAUUCUCGUACCCAUCGCAGUCCCCGAUUAUUGUCGAUAGAAAUUGUCUUUGAAAACGAAGUAGUUAUUUUCCAGGAUGAAUUAUAGCCCUUCUAUCAUGCAUUCUUCUUCUUCUUCUUCUUCUUCUUCUUCUUCUUCUUCUUCUUCUUCUUCUUCUUCUUCUUCUUCUUCUUCUUCUUCUUCUUCUUCUUCUUCUUCUUCUUCUUCUUCUUCUUCUUCUUCUUCUUCUUCUUCUUCUUCUUCUUCUUCUUCUUCUUCUUUAAGGAGAUAAUUAAAUGCAUUCAAUCGUUUUAUAAAAUAUUGAGAAUGUUUAAAAAAUUAUGGUGCACAUAUAGAUUAACUAAUAUCAGUUAACUUGGAAACGUUUGUUAAGCAAUUACACGAAUGAUUGUAACUGAAUUUUAUUUUCUCUUUACAAUUGAGCCAAAGGAUGUUUCGUGCCAGAAAAUUUUACAUCAAGAUUUAGUCUUUGUGUGUAAGGUGAUGGGUAAAGAGAAUUGUUAGGGGAAACGUAAGUUAAUCUUAAAUGAGAUUUUUGACUGUCUGAAUCCAUACAUGAUUGCAAGUAUCGUGUACAGAUAUCAUCGGUACUUGAACUGUAAUGUAAGCUUGAAAGAUGCUCCUUUUGAGAUGUUGAUCCAAGACAUCGACUGUUGAGAAUAUUCUCAUCAGUUCCUUGAUCUUGUGACACAACCUUUUCAUUGUUAGAUGGUCGAUAUUAGCAUGGUCGAUAUAUGCAACAUACUUUGGAGUACAGCCCGUAGACAAGCAAUAUCUCAAUUUCUCUCAGCAGUAAUGAUAUACCCUAUGAGAUGCUAGCAACAAAUAUGGAUUCUUACACAAGGCAUAAAAAUAUGAUGUAUGACGUAUAAAAGGGAGCUAGUGUUAUGCAAAGUGUUUCUCCUUAGGCAGAGCCAAUGCAAUUGAGGGAGAUCAUUGUGAUUUCUUUUUACAGUUUUUAAUGAUAUCCAGGUUUCCUGUUUAUGGAUUUUCUGUGAUGAAGUGGUGGAAAUUACGCAAAAUUUACGCUUUACCAUCUGUCUCUAGUGCGAAACAUUCAAAGGGAUGGAUAUCGCACAGCACAAAACAGGAGUAACUGAAGACGAAUUAUUAUAAACCUCCUCAUUAUUGCAUUGUUGUUAAUUUUGCUUCAUUGGAUUGUUGACUCCUUGAUGUAAUAUUGACAGAUUUAUCAUUUUUGAACUCUGCUUCCAUAGUUUUGAUUGGAAAUUAUGAAAACAGCUUCUUAUCCGAAUUUUUAAAAAAGUUGUGCCAGGUUUCUAGGUCUUGAUACUAUAAUAGACACGUUUUAUAUAUAAUUUCUUUGCUUCUCCUUCAUGUACCUUUCAUUGUCAUUGUGAGAUACUGAUUUUGGACAAUAUCUGUGGUUGCUGCCCUUUCCAAAUUAUGUUGAAUUCUUUGGGGGGGGGGGGGAUUUUCAUGAAAUAUUCAUCAAAAUCUUGUCUUUGACAUUUAUUCCAGGUAGAGCGUACUUCAGUACUUCACUACCAAUAAUAAUAAACUAAGCACUGGAAGGUAUAAAGAAGGCUCAUGGCGGAAUAUUUCCUCCUAAUAUAUUCAGGCCAGACCAUUAGUUCAAACGUAUGAUGCAGUUAAAUAUUGUUAUUUUCCGCAAAAAUAUUUUCUCGUGGUAACCUAAACUAACCCCACACCAUUACUGGACAGAUCAUCGGUCACUCGGACUUGGCCGUUACUUUUAAAAUAGUACCAAAAAGUAAACUUUAGCAUCAAUUUGAAAUGGAAAGGAAAUUUUAAGAAUUUCGUUUCCCCAUUAUGAAAACCCUUACUAAAUUUCAAUAAAGGUUACUCAAGUUGUGUUCUACACUAACAUCUGUAUCAAUAUUUAAGUCAAUUAAUCCUCUUUUAGAUAAUUAGGAUCCUAACCAUGUUGAAACACACACCUACACACACAUGAUGGCUGCCCCCUCGUUAUCGAGUAUGGCCAUUGCACUAAGCUUAACUGUUAUUGGUGCUGUGAUCGAAUGUGACUUUUUAGCCUAGCUAAAGAUCUACAAUGUCUUGUACAGAAUUGGCAGCUAAAACUUUUACCGGCAGUGGCCAGCUGUACUUGUAACUGGGCUUCAUGUACCUACACACACAUACACACACACACAUACACACGUCCAUACAUACAUGAGAUGGUUGCAACUCGAUUUUGAGCAAUGCCAUCGAUUGAUUGUUCUCUUAAAGCAGCACGGAUGUGGCUUUUCCGUCCUGUUAAAGACUGACGCUUUGUCUACAGACGUUGCAACGAUGAGCGUCCUUUGCAACAGGUGUUUAGAGAGCUUACCACCCACGCAGACACACGCCUUCAUUCCAUCAUAUAAUUUUUCCUUGAGCGAUUUGUUCUUUUUGGCUACGGUGAGGCAUUGUAUACAGCUCAUAAUAGAGACAUUAAAAUAUCAAGCGAUGCCUGAAGCUUUUUUAAAGUGAGGAAAAGCCUUGUACAGGGCCAACCCUAAUCUCUAAACAACGUAUCUAUUUGACCACAAACAAGAACUAUACAUCACUGGAUGCUGACAGAGCCACAAGUGUUGCAUCGGAUUUUUCCUUCUUCUAGAGAAAUGUCUAAAAAGACUAGGGGUUCCUCACCUUAAGCUAUUGGAUGCCCGCUUACUCUACCGAGUUCAUCUGAUGCUUGAUUCGUUUUGGUUUUCUUCUUUUAGGGUGUCCAACGAAAUCCACCCUCUUUAUUAAGCAGGCUUGGUAGAGUUUCUGGUUUAGUCACUGACGGCUCGGCUGUGCAACACAUUGUACUAGGUUACAUGUUGCCAGUAGCACUAAAAGUAGCCUUACAUCACAAACACACACACACACACACACACACACACACACACACACACACACACACACACACAAUUCAUACAUACAUACAUAAUACAUACAUACAUACAUGCAUACGUAAAUACAUACAUGCUUGCAUACAUACAUACAUACAUACAUACACACACACAAACACACACACAUACACUCACACACAUUGUACAAUGCCGAGCUUACAUAUUAAUGCAGACAUGUACACAUAAUUUCUUCCAUACUGUAAUUAAUACUACAUGAAAAGGGUCACGAAACGGCUGUAAUCUUAUGGGAGUCAUGUGACUAUAACACUGGUCAACAAAAUGAAACUUUUUUUAAUCAUCAGAGUUGCUGAUUGACUUUUCAGGGUUAAUUUUUGAUGCUGAUUACGAAUCUGAAGUCCGAUUUCCUUUAUCAGGUCACAUUUUCAUGUUAAUGAUACCUGCUGUUUUAACUUAUAGGAUACGUAAAGCAUGUCUAUAUAAAGUAUAGUGAAUACAAGAUACGAUAAUUUCAUGGCUUUUUAUUGUACAAAAUUAUAAUUAUUGUGUACAAAUAAGUUAGAAUACACUCAAAAACAACUUUAAAUCUUUGGGAUUUGAACUUUCUAUGGUGUUUUGUCUCAGAUUCAUCCCUGUAUAACAUCCAACAGUAUUCAGCUAACAUUCCUGCAUUCCAAAAUCCUUGAUAUCGUUGCUCCAUCAAUGCAAUAUCUUGAUGAAAACGUUCCUCUUGCUCAUCAGAUACUGUUCCAAGGUUCUCUGCAAAAAAGUUCAGAUGUGAAUCAAGGAAAUGAACUUUUAAUGACAUCCGACAGCCUAUUACACCGUAGGAGUCUAGAAGACAUUUCACUCCAUUUCUAAACUCUAGAGACCUCCUGUUGCCUGGAAAAUUUUCACAGAGCCAUUUGAAGGAUUCCCAGGCUUUAAAUUCAAUCUCAUCCAGUGCUGUGAGGAAGUGGUUGUCCUUCAGGAGUUCUUUUAUCUGCGGACCUAUGAAUAUGCCCUCCUUCAGUUUUGCCUCGGUGAUUUUUGGAAAUUUGGCCUUCACAUAUUGAAAACCUUUUGAGCUUUUCCUGGCAAGUGUCUUCACGAAUUGUUUCAUGAGACCAAGCUUUAUGUGAAGAGGGGGAAGAAGAAUAUUUUUCUGAGUUUAAAAGUAGCUUACUCUGGUCGCUAGAAACUCCCGGCUCAUAUGAUUUUCGCAAAGGCCACCCUAAUUGCACAUAGUGCUUGUCAGCUGCACGACUGUUCCAUAGGCAUAAAAAGCAACAAUUUUUCGUAAACCCAGAUUGCAUUCCCAUCAACAUUCCAAUCAUCUUCAAAUCACCACAUAUUUUCCAGCUGUAGUUUGUAUACUUUAUGACAUUGAGGAGUACUUGCAUGUUUUCAUAACACUCCUUCAUGUGCACUGAAUGUCAUAUGGAAAUGGAUGGUUUCUUAUUGUGUAGUAGUACUGCCUUCAGGCCUCUCUUAGAUGAAUCAAUGAAUAAGCGCCAUUCAGCUGGAACAUACUCUUGGAACAAACAGCAAAAUAACUCAUCAAUGUUAUUACUGAAACAAAGUGGUCCAUCAACAGAGAAGCAUGAACUCACAUUCCUAUUUCUCUUCCUGAAAUGAGUAAUACAAACAUCUUUCUUAAGCAGACACUUUUCUUGUAGGCGUGAUGUUAAUAGUUCAGCUUUAUCCUUCGACAAUGACAAGUCUCUAACUAAAUCAUUUAAGUCUCCUUGAGAAAAUUUCUGUGGUACGUCUUCAUUUUCAAUCAGGAAAUCUGCAUCCACUUCGGUGUCUUCCACAGCAGUAGUAUUUUCUUGAGAAAAUACAUCUUCGUCAUACAUCUGAAGGCCAUUUUCUGGUGGUAUUGGAAUAGGAAGAUCAUCAUCGUUGUGUGGUACUGGUCUUCUUGCUGAUUCCAAGCUGGGAUACACAAUCUUAUGCUUGGUCUUUACAGUAAACCCAUAUACAUUAACGUUGUAGAAAUAACAGUCCAUGAAAUGAUCCUUUGGCUCUCUCCAUAUCAUAGGUAUUGCAAACGGCAUUGUUCUCUUCCUCUUAUUUAGCCAAUCCCUUAGUCCAUUUGAACAAGCUGAGCAGAUGAUUUGCGGGGCCCAACUCUUAUCUUGAUCCCCAAGAGAGCAGGCUAAGUAUAACUGGUAAAUCUUCUUGAUUUCCCUUGUGCUAGGACGCUGCUGAGCUUUGGUGGUAAAUGAACCACAGACAUGACAAAAUAUAUUAGGACUGUUCUUGCAAUGCCUUGAGAUCCUGAGUAGAAUUUGAUGAUGAUGAUGACUUGACACCUUAAACAGAAAGUAAAAUUUAUGAAAAGAGAAGAUUAUGAAAACAUAAAAUUACAAAAUGAAUACAAAUAGUUAUAAAACAGAAGUCAGAAUUUACCUGUAUAAGACGUUUACGCUUAGCGAUACUGCUGAUGGGAGUUAUAAACCUCUCUUAUCUUAUCAGAAAAACUGUGCCUGAUAGAAGGAAACCGAUUACAUUUUUGAAAUCUGCAAACAAAACUACAUAUAAAAACCAUAUAAUAUCCCUUAUGAAAAUUGGCUGUUGACCAGUGCAAUGUAUAUUUACCUUACAUAUAUGUAUAUACGUAGGUACGUACAUACAUACACACAGACAUAUACAUACACAUAGGGAUUAACAAAAUCAGAAAGAACACGCUAAUCACAAGAUUACGGAUAUAAGCUGUCAAUGCUGCUGUCAAAAUAUGUUUAGGAGCUUCAAUCAGAGCUGGUUUGCCAUCAUUUUGGGAAACGAUUUUGAAAAGUUCUUCCGCAAGAAACAUUUUAGUCAUUUUUAGCACAAAUAAUUCGAAAGUUAAAAGAAAACAAAAUUGAAAAACAAAUACGCACACAGAUGUAUUGCAUGCGUGCAUGUGUGUGUGUGAGUGUGUGAGUGUGUGAGUGUGUGUGUGUGUAUGUGUGUGUGUGUGUGUGUGUGUGUGUGUGUGUGUGUGUGUGUGUGUGUGUAACGUUUCCGUAAAUUGAGAGGGAAUUAACUAAAAGUCAAAUUUGAAUGAAACGGAAGAUAAUCAACGUAGUUUAAUUGGUUAAUUAUAGCAACGAAAGAAAAUGUAGCAACGUUUUCUUUUUUGAAAUUAAAUUUCAAACAGAAAAUAGAUCUUUGGGUUUACCGUGUAAACUGGCUUCUAUGGUCUACAAAACUUUUGUGUUAUUAUAAUAAAAAUAAAUAAAUGCGCCCUCUUAAAGCCUAGCCAGGCUCAAGGGGCCCAGUUUCCUGGUUUCAAUGGCGUAUCUGUUCCCAGCUGGACGGGACACCAGUCCAUCGCAGCGUUAUUCAUUUAUGCCAGCUGAGUGGACUGGAGCAACGUGAAAUGAAGUGUUUUGCUCAAGAACACAAGUCUGCGAUAAUUAAUAAAACUAAGAAUGUGAUUUGUGGAAGUAGUUAAAUUGCCCCAUUUUUACUUUUAGUGCUUUCCGCGUGAUUCCUUCGAGGUCAAUCAGUCAUCGCUUAUGGACAUUCAUCAAUACACUUAUGAGUCAAUUGGCAAUUUAACAACACCAAGUACAAACUAAGAAGGAGCUACAUGCAUUUUUGAUAUAGCAUGCCUUUCAUCAUUAUUUUUAUGGGAUGAGAAAUUACGUCACUAUGGUCAAACAAAUGCUGUACUUAUUUUUUACAUUUGUGUGACAUGGGGAAAAAAGCAUAAUUCAUCUACCUUGAGGGUCCCCUCGUAGCGUCGAGUCUUUCCACCCGGGAUAUAUCCGUAGGAACCCUACCCGCUUAACCUCUGGCCAGAACCUAAUGGCAUUUCCUUCAACUCAUGCGUCCAUCACAUUCGUCUCGAGUGACAGUCCCAAAGUAAAAGAGGCCAACGCUAGUCAUCAAUCCGUUCAAAUGACCUCACUCUCUCUCUCCUCACCUUCUGGCAAGGCUCUUCGGCUGUUCACAUGACGUUACUAACCCUAUACUUCCGGCCCACCUCAGUCCUGUAAUCUGAGAUGUCAGAACAUUGUUGAUUUAUAGCAUAGACCACAUCUUUAUAG